GACGAACCGUCCAAACGUUAUUCGGUAUCACUGGGCUUAAAGGGUGCGUAGGCUGCCGGAUAAGUUGGGUGUGAAAGCCCUCGGCUCAACCGAGGAAUUGCGCCAAAAACUGUCUGGCUUGAGGGAGAUAGAGGUGAGCGGAACUUAGGGUGGAGCGGUGAAAUGCGUUGAUAUCCUAAGGAACACCCGUGGCGAAGGCGGCUCACUGGGUCUUUCCUGACGCUGAGGCACGAAAGCUAGGGGAGCGAACGGG
rnacentral:rRNA from 1 species